UGAGGAAUAUUGGUCAAUGGACGAGAGUCUGAACCAGCCAAGUAGCGUGAAGGAUGACUGCCCUAUGGGUUGUAAACUUCUUUUAUAUGGGAAUAAAGUGUUCCACGUGUGGGAUUUUGUAUGUACCAUAUGAAUAAGGAUCGGCUAACUCCGUGCCAGCAGCCGCGGUAAUACGGAGGAUCCGAGCGUUAUCCGGAUUUAUUGGGUUUAAAGGGAGCGUAGGUGGAUUGUUAAGUCAGUUGUGAAAGUUUGCGGCUCAACCGUAAAAUUGCAGUUGAAACUGGCAGUCUUGAGUACAGUAGAGGUGGGCGGAAUUCGUGGUGUAGCGGUGAAAUGCUUAGAUAUCACGAAGAACUCCGAUUGCGAAGGCAGCUCACUAGACUGCAACUGACACUGAUGCUCGAAAGUGUGGGUAUCAAACAGGAUUAGAUACCCUGGUAGUCCACACAGUAAACGAUGAAUACUCGCUGUUUGCGAUAUACAGUAAGCGGCCAAGCGAAAGCAUUAAGUAUUCCACCUGGGGAGUACGCCGGCAACGGUGAAACUCAAAGGAAUUGACGGGGGCCCGCACAAGCGGAGGAACAUGUGGUUUAAUUCGAUGAUACGCGAGGAACCUUACCCGGGCUUAAAUUGCAUUUGAAUAAUCUGGAAACAGGUUAGCCGCAAGGCAAAUGUGAAGGUGCUGCAUGGUUGUCGUCAGCUCGUGCCGUGAGGUGUCGGCUUAAGUGCCAUAACGAGCGCAACCCUUAUCUUUAGUUACUAACAGGUCAUGCUGAGGACUCUAGAGAGACUGCCGUCGUAAGAUGUGAGGAAGGUGGGGAUGACGUCAAAUCAGCACGGCCCUUACGUCCGGGGCUACACACGUGUUACAAUGGGGGGUACAGAAGGCAGCUACCUGGCGACAGGAUGCUAAUCCCAAAAACCUCUCUCAGUUCGGAUCGAAGUCUGCAACCCGACUUCGUGAAGCUGGAUUCGCUAGUAAUCGCGCAUCAGCCAUGGCGCGGUGAAUACGUUCCC
rnacentral:rRNA from 1 species